UCCUGCCAGUAUACACCCCUCCCAGGAGAGAAGGAUGACCCUAAUCUGUAUGCAGACAAUGUCCAAAAACUCAUGGCCAAGACCCUGGGCAUCCCGGCGACAGACUAUGUGAUGGAGGGGCGUGU